CAGCCGCCGCGGGAAUACGUAGGGUGCAAGCGUUAAUCGGAAUUACUGGGCGUAAAGCGUACGCAGGCGGUUAUAUAAGUCAGAUGUGAAAUCCCCGGGCUCAACCUGGGGACUGCAUUUGAGACUGUAUGGCUAGAGUGUGUCAGAGGGGGGUAGAAUUCCACGUGUAGCAGUGAAAUGCGUAGAUAUGUGGAGGAAUACCGAUGGCGAAGGCAGCCCCCUGGGAUAACACUGACGCUCAUGCACGAAAGCGUGGGGAGCAAACAGGAUUAGAUACCCCCGUAGUCCCUGUCUCUUAUAA
rnacentral:rRNA from 1 species